UACGAAGGGGGCUAGCGUUGUUCGGAAUCACUGGGCGUAAAGCGCACGUAGGCGGACUUUUAAGUCAGGGGUGAAAUCCCGGGGCUCAACCCUGGAACUGCCUUUGAUACUGGAAGUCUGGAGGCCGAGAGAGGUGAGUGGAACUCCGAGUGUAGAGGUGAAAUUCGUAGAUAUUCGGAAGAACACCAGUGGCGAAGGCGGCUCACUGGCUCUGUACUGACGCUGAGUUGCGAAAGCGUGUGGAGCAAACAGG
rnacentral:rRNA from 1 species